CACCUUGUAGACCAGGUGGCCUUGAAGUCACAGACAUCCACCAGCCUCUGCCUCCCUAAGUGCUGGGAUUACAGGUGUGUUCCACCUCGCCUGGAUUCAAGGCAUCUCUUAUAAAAGAUAGCAUUUAAUUGGGCUGGCAUAUAGUUUCAGAGGUUUGGUUUAUUAUCCUCAUGGUGGGAGCAUGGCAGCAUGCAGGCAGACAUGGUGCUGGAAAAGCCCAGAGUUCUACAUCUGCAGGCAGCAGAAGGGGUCUGAGACACUGGGUGGAGCUUGAGUAUAGGAGACCUUAAAACCCAACCCUACAGUGACACUCUUCCUCCAAGAAGGCCACACUUCUAAUAGUGCCAUUCCCUUGGACAAGCAUUCAAACACAUGAGUCUAUGGAGGCCAAACCUACUUAGACUGCUACGGAGUGGUAAAGGAAGACCGCCAAUGUCUUCCUCUGGCCAUUGCAUUCACGUGCAUGGGCAUGCAUGCAAUCUGCACACUUCAUGCAUGAAUUAUAUAAAUGUAGUUACAGAAAAGAUCAUACAUGGACUGGAGAGAUGGCUCAGUGGUUAAGAACACUGUUUGCUCUUCCAGAGGUUCUGAGUUCAGAUCCCAGCAACCAUAUGGUGGCUCACAUCCAUCUAUACUAGUAUCUGAUGCCCUCUCUGGCAUGCAAGUAACCUGCAGAUAAAGCACUCAGAUGUAAAAUAAAUGAUCUAAAAAGAAAGAUCAUAGAGUGAUUGUGGAAGGAAUGCAAGGACAAGAAAAAUCUCUUUCUUGUGAAACUCUGAUCUGAUUGAAGCUCCUCACCUCUCUGAAACCCAGUUAAUGGAAACAGGAAGAUGUUAUAAGUGGAUAAAUUGCAUUAGCACAAGAAUAACAAACCCUAAACUCAAAAAUAGGAAGGUAUUUUAGUUUGGUUUUUCGAAACAGGGUUUCCCUGUGCAGUCCUGGCUAUCCUGGAACUCACUCUGUAAACUGGGUUGACCUUGAACGCAGAGAUCCACCUGCCUCUGCCUCCCAAGGCAUGUGAUACCACACGAGGCUCUGGUAUUUGUUUUUGAGAAUGAGGACUUCAAACAGUGGUUAUUUUGUUUUGUUGUUUUUUGUUUGUUUUGUGUUUUAGUUCCCAAGGAUAUUUCUCCCCAGAGCUUUCUUCUUCACUUACUUUAAUGACUCAUUUGGAAGCCAUCACUGCUAAAUGUUCUAUGCAGCAUUGGCGGCAGCUGUCUUAUUAUCUUGACAUUACAAAUAGAAUAUUGCCCAUUUGCAGCUGUGUUGCUGCCAAGCCGAAAAGUCAGCAUUUCCACUUUCUAGGAUGUUACCCUCUUCAGCACCAGUACGUUACCUUUUGUCACUUUGACAAGUCAUCAUGUUUGUGAGAAAGCCUCUCUGUUCUAGAACAGUUCUGCCAUCAUCCAACAGUAUGUUUCUUGCUGAGAUUCUGCUUUUGUGGAUACAGUAGGAGAAUCUGUUCUGAUGAACAUUAAUUUAUUACUUCAUGUAUAUAAAGAGCGGCUUGGUCAUGGUGGUACAUACAUGUAAUCUGGUGUGUACCACCAUACACCAUAACCAAGGGCUCUUUGGGAGACAGGCAGGAGGGCCAAGAAUUAAAAUCCAGCCCAUGCUACAUAAUGAUACCCUUACUAAAUAGUUUAUUCAGAUACAGUUUUAUCUGGAAUAGGGUUGAAAAUUCUUGGUUUCCAGUCACUUGAGGUCAUUGGUCAGUUUGUAAGUCUUUUAUGCCAAAGUAUUUUCACUUUAGUGUUAGGUCUUCACAUCCCCUCUCAGGAUCGCUAACAGACUAACCCUGACUUGCUCGAGGGAUGAUAACCUAGCUGUGUCUGCAUAGUGUGAUAUAUAUCUCAUCUGAACACCCAGUAUAUUCCAAACAUUGGUUUGCCGUGGAAGAGUAAUAAAUGUUGUAUCUAACAUUGAGCUUUACAUAUGCGACAGAUACUGUUCUUAGUCUUUUAUAUGCUGUCUCUACAGUCAUUCAGAAACUAUGUGUAGACAUGCCUCCUUGUAAAAUGAAUCAGUCAUAAAGAGGUUCAGCAGUUUGAUUAAACCCAUAAGGAUAAGUAGUGGAAGAGAGCUGGGUCUAGUGGCUCAGGCCCAUUAUCUCCAGCAGUCUGGAAGGGUGAGGCAGAGAAUCAUAAGCUGAAGUUCUGCCUUGAGUACAGAAGGAAUUCCAGGCCAGCCUGAGUAACUUAGUGUGACCCUGACUCCAAAAAAGGAAAAAAAAAAAAGUAAAAGAAACUUUUUUAAAAAAUAGGAAGGGGCUAGGUAGUUAUAGCUCAGUGGUAGAGCACUUGCCUCUUAUGUCCAAGGAUCUGGGUUCAUCACUGGGAUUGCCCAUCACCCAGUAAGUAGAUAAGGUAAUAGAGCCAAGGUGUGCGCUCAGUGUGAUCUCGUAUCUGUGCAGUAGCCACAUCACUGUGUGGUCGGGGAGAAGCUUUGAUUUGAGAGGCAGAAUUCUUAGUCAGGUCUCACCUCCCACCCUAUUAUCUCAUAUUGUUACUUGAAGAUUUGGGGGAAAUUACUCAGCCUUGCUGAACCCCAGUCUCCUAUCUGUAAAAUGAAAAUGAUAAUGUAUACUUCAUAGGAUGACUGUAAAGAAUGUUUUAUACUUGCCUGCUAUGGUAGUAUAUUCCUGUGGUCUCAGCACUUGGAAGGCAGAGUCAGGAGGGUUGCUGCAAGUUCAGAGCCAGCCUGUUUUAUAUAGUGAGUUCUAGGCCACUCAGGACUUGAGUAGAAACCUAUCUCAAAAAAUAAAUGUGUAACUGAAUUAUGAACCGUUGAGUUAAUAUUAUCAUCUCUAUUUUCAAAGCACUACACCAGUACUAAAGGUAGAAUAAGAAAGUUGUGCUUCUUUGAGGCUCCAUUGCAACAUGGAGUAAGGGCAAAUAUAAAGCCUGUUUAUAUACAGGAACCUGUUUAAAUACAGUAACAUUGCAGGCAGGGAGCUCUGGUGGGCAUUUUCUGUAUACACUAUCAACAGUCCCAGAGGGACCAGGAGGGAAGGCACUGUCAUUUCCUUGAGCUUAGCUAGCCAGGCAAGAUAGCAAAUGCCUGUAAUUACAGCACUAGGAGGCUGGGGCAAGAGGAUCUUCAAUUUUGCGAUGCUGUCCAAAAACAAAACCAGAAGAGAAGAGCAAAGAUUCGAAUGAGAGAGAAGCUGGGAAGAUGGCUCAAUGGGGAAGAAUCCUUGUUGUGCAAGCAUGAGGACUUGAGUCAGAAUCCCUGCAUAAGGCCAGAAUGGACAUCUUCACUCUCCCUUAGGGCUUGGCAGCAUGCUGGGGAUUAAACAAGGGUCCACGCAUAUAUGCUAGGGGUAUGAGUGAAGAGUUACUUACAAGAUCAGAAAAGACUCAAAGACACUGUAGCACCAAAACCCACCCCUUAUCAGUGGCGCUGGAAGAGAUUGGAGAAACGUUCAGAGGCAGCUCAGCUAGUCUGAGCCUCUCUCAGAUGCAUACAAGUACUCCUGAUGGCAGAGGACUGGAGCCAGAGGCCAAUUCUGGAAGAGAAAAUAGAACACUGUGGUGGAACACUCCAGCCAGUCCAGACAGGCUGGAGGAGGAAAAGAAGAGCUUGCCGAAAACAGUCCUGCAAGUGUAGCUUUCUAUACAGGUUCCUCUAUGGCUAUCCUGGAAUUGACUCUGUAAAUCAGGCUGGUCUUGAACUCAGAGAUCUGCUUGCCCCUGCCUGCCUGAGUUCUGGGAUUGAAGAUGUGUGCUACAGCUACCCGGCUAUGAUUUCAAAAUUGUAAAGGAGUAAUAAAUAGUAACUUCUUUGAUGUGACAAAGAAUAUCUGUGAACACUUGAACUAACACUAACAUUGUAGUUAACUUACAAGUUCUCACUACUGUGGAGAGGAACAAGAAAGGAUUGCUCUCGUUCCACUCCUCCUUGUACUGCAUGGGAAGUCACAGACUAUGCCAUGAUUACAAAAAGAAAUAAACAAAAGGCUGAAAAGAC